rnacentral:lncRNA from 1 species
UACACAGCCAAAGCCAACAUCUACAUUGGAUUAGGGCAUAUCCACUUCAACCUACUUGCCGGAAAGGUACGCUGUCAAUUUAGAACAUUAGUUAACCGUGAGCAGAACAGGAAGGAACGCAACAGGAGAAGACGGCAAACCCACCGUCAGGCUGCCCGACCUCACUACGGAUGGGAAGACUUUCCUAGCAAGAUCGUGAAGUAUGAAGAUCACCUCAUGGAGGAAGAAGAGAACACGCAAGCACCCCGAUGGAGUGAGUGGGCUGAAGAAGCUGAAAGGAUGGACCAGAUCGCCAAGAAAGAGAAAGAGGAGAUCUUAGCCCUAUUAGAAGCCUGAGAAAAAGAGAACAGAGCUGAAGAGUUGGAACUAGAGAAGGAAGAAGCAAAAGAGAUAUAAGCAAGAUGGGAGGAAGACGCACAUACUGCAUCACCGCAAGACGGGGAGUUGACUGAGGUUACCUCAGACAAUGAACCCACUAAGUAAGUCCUCUGCACUAUCCAAGUCCUCUCAGUAGACUUUAAAUUUUGUACCCUAGCCAUAAGGUUAGAAUAGUAGUUAUGUAGUUAAAUUAGCAUGCAUUAGUAAAUUCGCUUUAAUACACUUAAUAGCAUAUUUAUUUCUCUUUGCAUAUUAAUACAAAAAAUAACAAAAAUAUUUAAUGCUUUAAUUACUGCAUCAUAAAUACCAAAGCCCCA